rnacentral:rRNA from 1 species
GAUGAACGCUAGCGGCAGGCUUAAUACAUGCAAGUCGAGGGGCAGCACGGUUAGCAAUAACUGGUGGCGACCGGCGCACGGGUGCGUAACACGUAUACAAUCUACCUUAAACAGGGGGAUAGCCUUUCGAAAGAGAGAUUAAUACCCCGUAAUAAAUUGAACGGCAUCGUUUGAUUUUGAAAGCUCCGGCGGUUUGAGAUGAGUAUGCGUCUGAUUAGCUAGUUGGUGAGGUAACGGCUCACCAAGGCGACGAUCAGUAGGGGAUCUGAGAGGACUAACCCCCCACACUGGUACUGAGACACGGACCAGACUCCUACGGGAGGCAGCAGUAAGGAAUAUUGGUCAAUGGAGGCAACUCUGAACCAGCCCAUGCCGCGUGCAGGAUGACGGCCCUAUGGGUUGUAAACU